GAUGAACGCUGGCGGCGUGCCUAAUACAUGCAAGUCGAGCGAACGGACGAGAAGCUUGCUUCUCUGAUGUUAGCGGCGGACGGGUGAGUAACACGUGGAUAACCUACCUAUAAGACUGGGAUAACUUCGGGAAACCGGAGCUAAUACCGGAUAAUAUUUUGAACCGCAUGGUUCAAAAGUGAAAGACGGUCUUGCUGUCACUUAUAGAUGGAUCCGCGCUGCAUUAGCUAGUUGGUAAGGUAACGGCUUACCAAGGCAACGAUGCAUAGCCGACCUGAGAGGUGAACCGCCCACCCUGAACCUGAACAACGGUCCGGCCCCCUAGGGGAGGAAGCGGUAGGGAAUCUUCCGCAAGGGGGAAAAGCCUGACGAAGAAACGCGGGGUGAGUGAGAAAGGCCUUCGGUUCGAAAACCUCUGUUAUUGGGGAAAAACAUAUGGGUAAGUACCGGUGACCAUCUUGAGGGUACCAAACAAGAAAGCCACGGCUAAUUACGU
rnacentral:rRNA from 1 species